rnacentral:rRNA from 1 species
GACGAACGCUGGCGGCGUGCUUAACACAUGCAAGUCGAACGGAAAGGCCUGCUUUCCCUUGUGGAUUGCGGGUGCUAGAGUGGCGAACGGGUGAGUAACACGUGAGUGAUCUGCCCCCAACUUGGGUAUAAGCCUGGGAAACUGGGUCUAAUUCCCGAUAGGACUGCAGGGUGGUGCCUGUGGUGGAAAACGAUUUUCUAGUGGUUGGGGAUGAGCUGGCGGCCUAUCAGCUUGUUGGUGGGGUAAUGGCCUACCAAGGCGGCGACGGGUAGCCGGCCUGAGAGGGUGGACGGCCACAUUGGGACUGAGAUCCGGCCCAGACUCCUACGGGAGGCAGCAGUGGGGAAUAUUGCGCCAUGGGCGGGAGCCUGAUGCAGCGACGCCGCGUGGGGGAUGACGGCCUUCGGGUUGUAAACUCCUUUCGACCGCGAGGAAGCCACCUGGUUGGAAGGGUGGUGACGGUAGUGGUAGAAGAAGCACCGGCUAACUACGUG